rnacentral:rRNA from 1 species
ACCGUACUCAAACCAACACAGGUGGGUGAGCUGAGAAAGCAUAGGCUUAGGUGAACCCCCAGGGAAGGAACUCGGCAAAAUGCAUGCGUGACUUCGGAGGAAGCAUGACUCUCUCAAUCUGGUGAUCUUGUAUAGAUGCCAAUAUAUUGAGCAGAGUGACACAAAAUCGGGGGUGAGAACUGUUUAAUAAAAACACAGGACUCUGCAAAGUGAACACACGAAGUAUAGAGUCUGACACCUGCCCAGUGCCAGGGAAUAGACCAGAUUGGGUGCAAGCUCAGUGGGUUAAAGACUGGUGAACGGCGGCCGUAACUCUAACGGUCCAAAGGUAGCGAAAUUCAUUGGCGGUUCAUUGCCGUCCUGCAUGAAUGGUGUCAUCAUUGCCCUACUGUCUCCCCUGGGGCGCCGGCGAAGUUGGUGUUCUCGUGAAGAGGCGAGAAAGUUGGCACGGGACGACAAGACCCCAUGCACCUUCACUGCACGUCGCUCAUGCCCAUUCUGGCAACUUUGUUCAGCGUAGGUGGGAGCUUUUCGAAUAGAAAGGCAACCUUGAGACACCACCCAAAUUUGUUGGAAGGGCUGCUUUCAGUACCGUACUUUUAGGAAAAGAACGGAACAGGCUGGAAGACUUGGACGGCACGGCAGUUUCACUGGGGCGGUGGCCUCCAAAAACGUAUCGGGGGCGCGCCAAGGUUAGAGUCUACCUCUCUAUGAGGUGUGGACACCUGGUAAUCCAUCAAUCUAGCUUGACUGUGAGAAAAAUUCUUCGAACAGGUACGCAAGUAGGCGAUAGUGACCCACAACAACUCAGUGGACGUUGUUGUGAUCAUCGGAUCAAAGGUACGCUGGGGAUAACAGAUUAAUAGACUCCAAGAGUUCAUAUCGACGAGUCUGUUUGAUACCUCGAUGUCGUCUCAUCGCGUCCUACGGCUGCAGCAGGUCGUAAGGGUUAGACUGUUCGUCUAUUAAAGCGGUACGUGAGAUGGGUUUAAACCGAGGCAACUCAGGUUGGAUCCUAUCUGUGUCAACCAUUUUGGACUGAUGAACGGCCUAUUUGUACGAAAGGACCAUAUAGGCCCCAACCUCUGGUGUAUGAGUUUAUAUGCAAGUGUAAGCGCUCAGUAGCUAAGUUGGCAAACAGUAUUGCUGAAAGCAUCUGAAGCAACAAAGUUGUCCAUAGACUGGUCUCUUUUUUCGUGAAAAACACACGUAGAUCGGCUUCAUGUAUGUCAUAGUGAUAUGGAGCAUAGAAGUACGAA